rnacentral:tRNA from 1 species
CGGGGCGUGGCUCAGCCCGGCUAGAGCGCACGGUUCGGGACCGUGAGGUCCCGAGUUCAAAUCUCGGCGCCCCGACUA